rnacentral:rRNA from 1 species
AUUGAACGCUGGCGGCAGGCUUAACACAUGCAAGUCGAGCGAGCGGCGGACGGGUGAGUAAUGUCUGGGACACUGCCUGAUGGAGGGGGAUAAAUACUGGAAACGGUAGCUAAUACCGCAUAACAUCAGAUGUGCCAAGAUGGGAUUAGCUAGUAGGUGGGGUAAUGGCUCACCUAGGCGACGAUCCCUAGCUGGUCUGCGAGGCUGACCAGCGAGACUGGAACUGAUACACGGUCCAGAAUCCUACGGGAGGCAGCAGUGGGGAAUAUUGCACAAUGGGCGCAAGCCUGAUGCAGCCAUGCCGCGUGUGUGAAGAAGGCCUUCGGGUUGUAAAGCACUUUCAGCGAGGAGGCGUUACUCGCAGAAGAAGCACCGGCUAACUCCGUGCCAGCAGCCGCGGUAAUUC